rnacentral:lncRNA from 1 species
UGUGGCAUUGUCACGUAUCUCAAAGGUGCCAUGAGUGAGAAGUUCUGGAAGGAAGCUGUAUCUACGAAGGCGAAUUGACUGACUAAAACCUUAGCGACUGCUGAGAGGCUGGGAUGCUGCAGAGAGGGCACUGGCUUGAUUCUGCUGCAGGAAUUGGCAAGCAAAGGGUUUUAAAAGCUGCCCAGAUGAAGCAGCUGUGCCAAGACAGGGUAGCACCCAGCGCUUCCUGGUCUUGACUGAUGAAGAAUGUUCAAGAAACAACA